rnacentral:rRNA from 1 species
GUGCCAGCCGCCGCGGUAAUACGGAAGGUCCGGGCGUUAUCCGGAUUUAUUGGGUUUAAAGGGAGCGUAGGCGGACUUUUAAGUCAGCUGUGAAAUCCUGCGGCUCAACCGUGGAAUUGCAGUUGAAACUGGGAGUCUUGAGUGCACGCAGGGAUGCCGGAAUUCGUUGUGUAGCGGUGAAAUGCUUAGAUAUGACGAAGAACUCCGAUCGCGAAGGCAAGUGUCCGGAGUGCAACUGACGCUGAGGCUCGAAAGUGUGGGUAUCAAACAGGAUUAGAUACCCUGGUAGUCCACACGGUAAACGAUGAAUGCUCGCGGUCUGCGAUACACAGUAGGUCGCCAAGCGAAAGCAUUAAGCAUUCCACCUGGGGAGUACGCCGGCAACGGUGAAACUCAAAGGAAUUGACGGGGGCCCGCACAAGCGGAGGAACAUGUGGUUUAAUUCGAUGAUACGCGAGGAACCUUACCCGGGCUUGAACUGCAGGGGAAUCGGGGCAGAGACGCCCCGAGUCUUCGGACUCCUGUAGAGGUGCUGCAUGGUUGUCGUCAGCUCGUGCCGUGAGGUGUCGGCUUAAGUGCCAUAACGAGCGCAACCCUUUUCCCUGUUUGCCAUCAGGUAAUGCUGGGCACUCCAGGGACACUGCCAUCGUAAGAUGUGAGGAAGGUGGGGAUGACGUCAAAUCAGCACGGCCCUUACGUCCGGGGCUACACAUGUGUUACAAUGGGCGGUACAGAGGGCAGCCACCAUGUGAGUGGGAGCUAAUCCUAAAAACCGUUCUCAGUUCGGAUCGGAGUCUGCAACCCGACUCCGUGAAGCUGGAUUCGCUAGUAAUCGCGCAUCAGCCAUGGCGCGGUGAAUACGUUCCCGGGCCUUGUACACACCGCCCGU